rnacentral:rRNA from 1 species
ACGCGGGCACUUGUGCCCGAGUGGCGAACGGGUGAGUAAUACAUAAGUAACCUGGCCUUUACAGGGGGAUAACUGCUGGAAACGGCAGCUAAGACCGCAUAGGUAGGGACACUGCAUGGUGACCGUAUUAAAGGUGCUGCAAGGCACUGGUAGAGGAUGGACUUAUGGCGCAUUAGCUGGUUGGUGAGGUAACGGCUCACCAAGGCGACGAUGCGUAGCCGACCUGAGAGGGUGACCGGCCACACUGGGACUGAGACACGGCCCAGACUCCUACGGGAGGCAGCAGUAGGGAAUUUUCGGCAAUGGGGGGAACCCUGACCGAGCAACGCCGCGUGAAGGAAGAAGGAAUUCGUUCUGUAAACUUCUGUUAUAAAGGAAGAAAGACGGAUGGAGGAAAUGACAUCCGAGUGACGGUACUUUAUGAGAAAGCCACGGCUAACUACGUGCCAGCAGCCGCGGUAAUACGUAGGUGGCAAGCGUUAUCCGGAAUUAUUGGGCGUAAAGAGGGAGCAGGCGGCAGCAAAGGUCUGUGGUGAAAGACUGAAGCUUAACUUCAGUAAGCCAUAGAAACCGGGCAGCUAGAGUGCAGGAGAGGAUCGUGGAAUUCCAUGUGUAGCGGUGAAAUGCGUAGAUAUAUGGAGGAACACCAGUGGCGAAGGCGACGAUCUGGCCUGCAACUGACGCUCAGUCCCGAAAGCGUGGGGAGCAAAUAGGAUUAGAUACCCUAGUAGUCCACGCCGUANACGAUGAGUACUAAGUGUUGGAAGNCAAAUUUCAGUGCUGCAGUUAACGCAGUAAGUACUC